rnacentral:rRNA from 1 species
UAGUAAAGUUGCCGGGGUUAAAAGGUUCGUUUUUCAAACUCGGUGACAACGCUAAUAUGAUUCCCGACUUGAGAGGUCUAGAACCUGAUUUCAAUUUUACAAGCCU